UUACGGCCACAUCACGUUGAAACAUCGAUUCCCAUACGAUCACCGAAGUUAAGCAGCGUCGGGCCUGGUCAGUACCUAGAUGGGUGACCGCUUUGGAAUGUCUGUUGCUGUAG
rnacentral:rRNA from 1 species